rnacentral:rRNA from 1 species
UACGGAGGGUGCGAGCGUUGUCCGGAUUUAUUGGGCGUAAAGCGCGUGUAGGCGGCCAUACAGGUCCGUUGUGAAAACUCGAGGCUUAACCUCGAGACGUCGAUGGAAACCGUAUGGCUAGAGUCCGGAAGAGGAGAGUGGAAUUCCUGGUGUAGCGGUGAAAUGCGCAGAUAUCAGGAAGAACACCCGUGGCGAAGGCGGCUCUCUGGGACGGUACUGACGCUGAGACGCGAAAGCGUGGGGAGCGAACAGG